rnacentral:rRNA from 1 species
GUUUAAGGAGUUUAAGUGCUUAUGGUGGAUGCCUUGGUAAUCAGAGGCGAAGAAGGACGUUAUACUAACGAUAGUUUCGGGGAGAAGAUAUUUCCUUUUAGAUCCGAAAGAGUUUCCGAAUAGGGUAACCUAUGUAUCAUUAUAAUAAUAAUAAUAAUGAGGCUAACGCAGUGAACUGAAACAUCUUAGUAACUGUAGGAAGAGAAAUCAAUUGAGAUUUCCUUAGUAGCGGCGAGCGAAUUGGAAUUAGUUUUUUUUAUUAGGCUUUUUAUAUAUUAGAAUUUUUUUGAAUAUUAAACCAUAGAAGGUAAUAGUCCUGUAUAUUAAAUAUUAGAAGUCUAUAUAAAUUAUUAAGUAGAGCGUAGCACGUGUAAUUAUGCUUGAAGAUAGGAGGACCACCUUCUAAAACUAAAUACUACUGAUUAACCGAUAGUGAACUAGUACCGUGAGGGAAAGGUGAAAAAAGUAGGCCUGGGUAAGGCAGUGAAAGAGACCUGAAACCGUAAGCACACAAUCAGUCGGAGCUUUUAAUAAGUGACGGCGUACCUUUUGUAUAAUGGGUCAGUGACUUACAUUUAGUAGCAAGCUUAACUUUUUAUAGGGAGGCGUAGAGAAAUCUAGUUUUAAUAGAGCGAUUAGUUUCUAAGUGUAUACCCGAAACCAGACGAGCUAUCCAUGGUCAGGGUGAAGGUUAAAUAAAAUUAAUUGGAGGCCCGAACCCACUAACGUUGCAAAGUUAGGGGAUGAACUGUGGAUAGGAGUGAAAGGCUAAUCAAGUUUGGAGAUAGCUGGUUCUCUUCGAAAACUAUUGAGGUAGUGCCUUAAUUCUUUUUUUUAGGGGUAGAGCACUGUUAUAAUUCUAGUAAUAGUUAAUUAUUGCAAACUGCGAAUACUAAAUUAAAAUGUAUUAAGAGACAGACUAUGGGUGCUAAGGUCCAUAGUCGAGAGGGAAACAGCCCAGACUAUGUGAUAAGGUCCCUAAAUGCUAACUAAGUGUGUAACGAUGUUUAAUUACAUAGACAAUCAGGAGGUAGGCUUAGAAGCAGCUAUCCUUUUAAGAAAGCGUAAUAGCUCACUGAUCUAGUUUUUAUGCACGGAAGAUAAUCGGGGCUAAGUUAGCUACCGAUGCAGUAGAAUCAUUGUGUAAUGAUUGGUAGAAGAGCGUUCCUAAUCUGUGAAUGUGGAUUGUAAGAUCUACUGGAGAUAAUGGAAGUGAGAAUGCUGACAUAAGUAACGUAAAAGAAAGUGAGAGUCUUUCUCACCGAAAGCUUAAGGUUUCCUACGCAAUGUUUGUCAACGUGGGGUUAGUCGGUGCCUAAGGUGAGGCAGAAAUGCGUAGGCGAUGGAUAGUAGGUUAAUAUUCCUACACUGUAUAUAAAAGUGAAGGAAUUUAUGAUGGGUGAGCGAUAUGCAUUAGAUGUCAAUUGCACUAUAACUGAGUCUUUAUAUUAGUAAAACUGUAUAUUUAUAGAUUAAGGUUAUGGGCAUGUUUUAUUAGACAUGUUAUUGUAAGCUUAUUACUGGAAAAGUUUCUAAACAAUUUUAUAUAUAGCCGUACCAAAACCGACACUGGUGAGCAGGAUGAGUAUUCUAAGGUGUGAGUUAACUCAGGAGAAGGAACUCGGCAAAAUUAUAUCGUAACUUCGGGAUAAGGUAUACCAAACACUAUACUAGUGUUUGGUCUCAGUAAAAUGACAGCUGCGACUGUUUAUUAAAAACACAGCACUCUGCAAACACGUAAGUGGACGUAUAGAGUGUGACGCCUGCCCGGUGCUGUAAGAUUAAAUAUUUAGUGUUUAGCGCACUGAAUAGAAGUCUCAGUAAACGGCGGCCGUAACUAUAACGGUCCUAAGGUAGCGAAAUUCCUUGUCGGGUAAGUUCCGACCCGCACGAAUGGCGUAACGAUGGCUGUACUGUCUCCUCCUGGGGCUUAGUGAAAUUGAAAUGUUCGUGAAGAUGCGAAUUACCCGCGGCAAGACGGAAAGACCCCAUGAACCUUUACUGUAACUUUGUAUUGAUUUGGUAAUUGGUAUGUGUAGGCUAUGUAGGAGAGGUAACUCGUAAGGUGAAAUACUACUCUUACUCUUUGCUGAGUCUUAUCUAGUAUUUUGAAUCAAAUAUAGAGAAAAUGCAUGGUGGGCAGUUUGACUGGGGCGGUCUCCUCCUAAAGAGUAACGGAGGAGUACUAAGGUAUGUUACAUAUGGAUGGAAACCAUAUUUAUAGCGUAAUGGCAUAAACAUGCUUGACUGCGAGACCUACAAGUCAAGCAGGUGCGUAAGCAGGUCAUAGUGAUCCGGUAGUACCUUGUGGAAGGGCUAUCGCUUAACGAAUAAAAGGUACUCUGGGGAUAACAGGCUAAUACCGCUCAAGAGCUCAUAUCGACGGCGGUGUUUGGCACCUCGAUGUCGGCUCAUCUCAUCCUGGGGCUGAAGAAGGUCCCAAGGGUAUGGCUGUUCGCCAUUGAAAGAGGUACGUGAGCUGGGUUUAAAACGUCGUGAGACAGUUUGGUCCCUAUCUGCCGUGGGCGUUGGAAAAAUGAAGAGAACUACUUUUAGUACGAGAGGACCGAAGUGGGUGUACCAAUGGUGUACCGGUUGUUAUACAAGUAGCAUUGCCGGGUAGCUAAGUACUAUUGGAUAACUGCUGAAAGCAUAUAAGUAGGAAGCCAGCUCUAAGAUUAUUUUUCCCUAAUUUAAGGGUUGUUCUAGACUAGGACUUUGAUAGGCUGUAGGUAUAUAUAUAGUAAUAUAUUGGCUGAACAGUACUAAUUACCCUAUUGACUUAACUAU